UCAGGAUGAACGCUAGCUACAGGCUUAACACAUGCAAGUCGAGGGGCAGCGGGGAUCUAGCUUGCUAGAUUGCCGGCGACCGGCGCACGGGUGAGUAACGCGUAUCCAACCUUCCCCUUAGUAGGGCAUAGCCCGUAGAAAUGCGGAUUAAUACCCUAUGUUAUUCGUCGAGGACAUCUGAAGUGAAUCAAAGGUUUACCGCUAAGGGAUGGGGAUGCGUCUGAUUAGGCAGCAGGCGGGGUAACGGCCCACCUGGCCUACGAUCAGUAGGGGUUCUGAGAGGAAGGUCCCCCACAUUGGAACUGAGACACGGUCCAAACUCCUACGGGAGGCAGCAGUGAGGAAUAUUGGUCAAUGGGCGAGAGCCUGAACCAGCCAAGUAGCGUGCAAGGAUGACGGCCCUAUGGGUUGUAAACUGCUUUUAUGCGGGGAUAAAGUGCGGCACGUGUGCCGUUUUGUAGGUACCGCAUGAAUAAGGACCGGCUAAUUCCGUGCCAGCAGCAGC
rnacentral:rRNA from 1 species